UUAAGGCUCCACUGCUCGACAUAAAAGAGAAUGUCAGAGCACAAACCAAAGGCAGGGCACCAAUCUGUUGUUAAUGAGAAGGAACAGAAUGCUUUAUUGGAAGUUGCGUCCCGAGCGUUUACAUGAUAUGCACUUGCUGAUUGGUGCCAUACUAAUGGUCGUUUCAGGGAAUCCGGACUGUCAUUACCAUGAAAUGUUGGCCGACUACGUACCAGCUGCUCAAGAAGUGAAGCUUAAAGACUUUGUUGUAAACGUGCGCCUUAGCGUAAACAGCAGCAAAAUUCUUUUCCAGUUUAAUAUGACCGAAGGAAUACUGACUCUAAAAUGUCCCAAUGGUACAGGAGCAAGCACUGUAUGCUGCAAUUUCAAAUGCGAGAGCCAAUUUUAUGCCCAGAUCUGCUACCUUAAUAUGUCAGGUUCAUACGCCAGGUACCACGUUGAUCUUCAUGACGAAUUCAAUACCAGCCAGAGUUUCAAAAUAUAUUUUUUCUUUGCUGACUACAACGUGAAGAAACCUGCUUAUUUAAGCGUGUAUAUUUCAAACAAAG